CGUAUCAAUCACGGUUCGCCCAAUUCUACUCCCACGAUCUGACCCCACCGCCUCCUCUCCUUCUCCCCCAGGCUUGACCCUCUCGGUUGCUCAGCCAAUCCCGGCUCCUCUUUUCCCCAAGCGAAACACCUACAUCCUUGGCAUCAGGUCGUCAAUCCUAGGUUGGGCAGAGCCACUCCUCUAGGCUCCAGAAGGGAAAGGGGAAGGAGAAAGGAACGGACGAGAUCAGGGGUAGGAGGUGGCAGGAGGGAGGGGCUGACGACCGCGACGAGCUCUGCCUUCUUCCAUUGCCCCAUGUUGUUCUUUCUUCAAUCCUCGGGGCACGCGGGCCGACGACAACGACCUCGGGCUGGAGCAGGAAGGGUCAAGCGGCAGCGACCUCAGGGCAGAACAAGAAGUUGCUGGCAGCGGAGAAGCAUUUGUCGACCAACAAGCAAGGGCGGAUGGCAUCGGUAGACCAUGAUCCGGAAGAAAACGGUGGUGGCUGGAUCAAGAAGAAGAUGAUAAACUUGCAGCCGAAUCGAGACGCAAGGGACGCCCAGAAGAUCACCAGAGAAAGAAGAGAACAACGGCCACAAUCUCACUACCCUUUCGUCAAGCACAUGCCAUUUGCCGCUGCUUCUCACCACCAAAAAUCCACCACAAUAGCUGCAUCUUGGCGUAUUCUUGCUUUGUCUGAAGUGGACGAUUGGAGAUGUUACAUUUAGUUGGAAGUGGCAUGUUGCAGAUAUGCUUGAUGGAGCAGAACAUGCUGAUUUGAACGGUAUUGUUGAUACUUUUGUGACGUUAUUUUCCCUACAGACAGGUGAUUCAACAAUCUGUUAGUUCCUUUUAUCCUCCUAGAGGGUUGUCUAAUCUCUCAGCGUUUUUUUUUUCUUUCUGAAGUUGGUGCCAUUUUAUCUCCAUCUAAUUAUGCACAUAGGGAGCAGGCAUGUGAACCAUGCUUCAAAUAAAAUUGGCAUCAUGUGAGCUGAUGCACAUGUACUGCAUAGGUAUCCCGACAUGCCUUUUCCAUGGAAGAAAUUAGGUAUCAAUGCAAGGCUACCAAGCUUAUUCUUGAAUAAAUUUCUUAGUAUCGACAGCAAAAGAUAAUUGCUCCAACAUCAAAUUUGCUCCGUCUCGACAGUGAUUAGAAAUAGGCAGCUGAAUGUACCUAUGAUCCUUGUUAAUUCUGACGAGAGCUCACGAUGCAUGCUUGUUGGGUCCUGUCCUCGCAUAAUUUCUUCAGCCAGAUCCGAUUUCCUUCCCCACGCAAUCUCCUACCAUCUGAACCAGCUAUGCUCGAUCCGCUCCUCCCAUGGCAGGCGGGUGCCCCCAUCCCAUCACACACCUCGCCUUUCUCAGCUACCUUCUCCCGCGUUACCACUCCUUCAGCUUCUUGCCACCGCUUCUACCAUGCUACGAGUUAAACAUGACACAUCUGAGAUCCGACAGCCACCGGGGCUCGUGCAAGCGAAGGGCGCCAUCAAGCUGCUGAUGUCGAGCGAGAUGGUGGAUGGUACCGGUGUCGAGGCACCGGUUCACGCCGCUUAAGAUGGUAUGGGAGGAGAUCUACACCCUACGGACUGAUGAAAUUUGACAUCCACUUGAACAUCAAGGUAACCACCCUCUCAUUACAUGUCAAUCGCAUUCCUUGUUGUUAUGGGAUACCCUAGCUGUAUCUGGUGGUACUGGCUGUCGAAAAGAAAAAAUUCAGUUGAUGUAAAUGGAGUUUGUGUAAUUGCUAAGAGUGUGAAGAUGUAUUUUGUUCCAGGUCCAAUCAGUUGGAUAUAAACAUUUAAAAGUAGAUGUCAAGCUGCGUAGGAUGCUGAAGGUCAAGAUUAGCUGAUGGUACUUUUUUUAUAGGGCUCGGGAUACCCGAUCAGUUGACAUCCAAGUACGCAGGGAACAAUUGUUUCGUUCGUCACAGAGUAGAUAAUAAGAAUGGCUACAGUUUUAAAUGCACCUUGUGGUAUUGCAAGGGGAUGGAAAGAUUUUGUUUCACAGCAUGGCAGCACCUCUUUUCUAUCCACGUGAGGUGGCUAUACUCUAUCAAGUUUUGGGUUCUUCGUGUUGCAACUUAUUUUACAUUCUCGAUUUUUUUGUCAAAAAUAAAUGUUGAAAUUACGGAGUAGUAUAGUUCAAGGGAAGAUCAGAUACGUGUUGUGGGAUGAGGCACUGGCAAAUAUUUGUUGUUUUCAUGUUGUUUAGUCACAGUUAAGCCCUUAGUUGUUUCAUCCAUGCAACUAAUUUUCUCUACUGCAUCUACAAUUUCAGAAAAAAUAAAUGUAUGAUGUAUGAUUAACAGGUUGCAUCCGGAGACCUGGGUUUAUUUAAAGCUGGAAGUGAGUAAUCUGCUGAGUUACUUAGGUGUCGCUGAAGCUGCAAACAUAAAGGAGUACAAUCCAGUCUUCAUUAAGCGAAUAUUUAUAGGAUGUUCAUCAUAUACGAAGAAUAUUUAUUUUGGACCAAACAACUAAAUUAUAUUUCCUCUCUUUAAAAAGUGAAAGAUCUAAUGUACAGAUUACUGUUUCUUUGGGACUGGUAUAAGGAUAUUACUGCUGAUCGGAAAGCUUGCAUGUAGGAACAGAAAAAUGAUGGUAUUCCUUGUGGAAGUAUUGAUACCGGCCCCGGCCCAUGGAAAAUCACAAUCCAAAGAACCUGAUAAAUUCAUUGCUGGUUGGUGAAGUUCCAGUGCAAUUCGGGAGAAAAAAAGCAAGUUCCAUGAAGUGUUUUUGCCUUGGUACAUGCUCAUAUAUUUAAGGAUGAAUCAACUUUUGGCUUGUGAGAAGGCUAUCCGCUGACCAUGAAAUGUAUCACCCGAAUUCUAUCAGGCUGCAACUUGUAAAGGGAUAUGACGCUUGUAGUUUUAAACUAUACUCUGGUGCGCCGUAGUACUCGACGAGUAGAUAAGUGGGAAAUGCUAAUCCUAAACCAUGCAAUUUGGAAAUGCUAGCUUGUAGUCUCUGCUAAUACUAGACAAUGUAGCUGUUGCUAAUUUCAUAUCUAGGACUAUAGACAACAUGUAUAAUAAUUCCUUGCUAUCAUCUGUUUUUUUCCUUCGGUGGUUUCUAUACCACUUUUGGGUCAUAAAUUAUAUACAAGUAUACCUAUGGUUUGAAUAUAUAUCACGAUUUGAAUUCCUUGCAUCAAUCGGAGCGAUAAAGGCUCAUCAUAGUAACUAGAGUGGGUUGAUAAUACGAAUAAAGAUAAUGGGGUAUGGAGGUAGACAGGCGGAUAAAUACCUAGAGGUCGAGCUGAUGGCAGGCACUACUUGAGGCUAAGCCUUGUCCAGCCGCGUAUAUACCACCAUUCUUUUAUGCUUGAUAAAGAAUGUACCACUUUAUUAUUACUUCCACUUAAUUGUAUAUGAAUCCCUUUUCCAUUUAUUUGAUCUUAGGAUGAAGUUUGAGAAGAAAGAAGGACACAACAACGCAUGAGGUUAGUUCAAUCAGAUCCUAAUCACAGGGGUGUAGGAGUGUGAGAAGAUGGUGGGCGGGCCAUAGCACUGCGUGUGAUGGGGAACAAUGGGAACCCACUUAGCUGAAAUGGAGCAUUGCAUAGAAGGGUGUCAAGCGCUAGGAGGCGGUCGAUGAACAAGUAAGGUAUACGGUAUGGAAGCCAAGCUAAUCGUAAAGGGAAAUUAAGCUGGGCUAGCGGCGAAGGCAAAUUUCCGUCUAUGUCAGGCAUUGUCAUUUUUUCAGCGAGGUCCCAUUGUAUUUGUUAUUAAAUAAAGAGGUUGCAUUGUGACAUUGAGCAUAGUUGCAUACCCUUCAUUCAUUAUCCACAUCAUGAUCGGUUGUUCCUUCACCAAUGUUGAUGGAUGAGAUCAUGUUGAAAUGUGUUGCCAUUUCUUUA